CCUACGGGUGGCAGCAGUGAGGAAUCUUUGUCAAUGGGCGCGAGCCUGAACCAGCCAAGUAGCGUGAGGGAUGAAUGCCCUACGGGUUGUAAACUUCUUUUAUGAAGGAAUAAAGUGCGGCACGUGUGCCUUUUUGUGUGUACUUUAUGAAUACGGAUCGGCUAACUCCGUGCCAGCAGCCGCGGUAAUCCUGAGGAUCCACGCGUUAUCCGGAUUUAUUGGGUGUAAGGGGAGCGUAGAUGGGGUGUGAAGUCAGCGGUAAAAAUUCGGGGCUCAACCGCGUCCGGCCGUUGAAACUGGGGGCCUUGAGUGGGCGAGAAGAAGGCGGAAUGCGUGGUGUAGCGGUGAAAUGCAUAGAUAUCACGCAGAACACUGAUUGCGAAGGCAGCUUUCCGGAGCCUGACUGACGCUGAGGCACGAAAGUGCGGGGAUCGAACAGGAUUAGAUACCCUUGUAGUC
rnacentral:rRNA from 1 species